GACAGGGGUGGCAAACGUUGUUCGGAAUUACUGGGCGUAAAGCGCGUGUAGGCGGUUAUGCAAGUCGGGUGUGAAAGCCCGGAGCUCAACUCCGGAAGUGCAUUCGAUACUGCGUAGCUAGAGUACUGGAGAGGAUGGUGGAACUCUCGGUGUAGAGGUGAAAUUCGUAGAUAUCGAGAAGAACACCGGUGGCGAAGGCGGCCAUCUGGACAGAUACUGACGCUGAGACGCGAAAGCGUGGGGAGCAAACAGG
rnacentral:rRNA from 1 species